rnacentral:rRNA from 1 species
UACGUAGGGGGCUAGCGUUGUCCGGAAUCAUUGGGCGUAAAGCGCGCGUAGGCGGCCCGGUAAGUCCGCUGUAAAAGUCCAGGGCUCAACCCUGGAAAGCCGGUGGAUACUGUCGGGCUCGAGUCCGGAAGAGGCGAGUGGAAUUCCUGGUGUAGCGGUGGAAUGCGCAGAUAUCAGGAGGAACACCCGAUGGCGAAGGCAGCUCGCUGGGACGGUACUGACGCUGAGGC